rnacentral:rRNA from 1 species
GGAUGAACGCUGGCGGCGUGCCUAAUCCAUGCAAGUCGAGCGAACAGACGAGGAGCUUACUCCUCUGACGUUAGCGGCGGACGGGUGAGUAACACGUGGAUAACCUACCUAUGAGACUGGGAUAACUUCGGGAAACCGGAGCUAAUACCGGAUAACAUGUUUAACCGCAUGGUUCAACAGUGAAAGACGGUCUUGCUGUCACUUAUAGAUGGAUCCGCGUCGCAUUAGCUAUUUGGUAAGGUAACGGCUUACCAAGGCAACGAUGCGUAGCCGACCUGAGAGGGUGAUCGGCCACACUGGAACUGAGACACGGUCCAGACUCCUACGGGGGGCAGCAGUAGGGAAUCUUCCGCAAUGGGCGAAAGCCUGACGGAGCAACGCCGCGUGAGUGAAGAAGGUCUUCGGAUCGUAAAACUCUGUUAUUAGGGAAGAACAAAUGUGUAAGUAACUAUGCACGUCUUGACGGUACCUAAUCAGAAAGCCACGGCUAACUACGUG